rnacentral:lncRNA from 1 species
UAAAUUAUAUAAAAUUUUUUGUUAAAAUUUGAUUUUUUCACCUUUUUUUUUUCCUGUCAUUUAAAAAUUUACACUUUGCCUCAUUAUAAAAUAAAAAAUAUUCACAAAGGAUACGGUGUAUACUGUAAUGAUAAAAUAACCAUUUUGUCCUCACCAUUUUCAUCUCCUCUCUCACCUUUCUCAACAGUAGCCUCGAUCGACCGCGAUUCACGCCUCAAUCGGCUGCGGUUUCUUUUCAUCUUUUUCUCCACCUACUCCCCUUUCCUCCUGCACCCUCGCCGCCCCUCGAUUUCGGCGACAGUAAGAUGGAAAUCAAUGUGGGGGUGGAUGGAGAGGUGGGUAAUGACAACGAGGGCGAAGGCGAGGCGGCGGAGGAGGGCGAAGGGUGUUUGUAGGCGCGGACAGGGAUGUGGGCGAUGGCGAGGCGGCGAGGCGGAGGAAGGUGAAGCAACAGGGAAGAGGGUGGAGGGGUAUUUUUGGUAUAAAAAAAUCUUUUAUAACGGAAUCCUAACGGAUUAUUAACGGUAGGAGGCAAAGUGCACAUUUUUUAUUUUACAAGGAGGCAAAGUGUAGGUUUUUAAAUGACAGGAGGAAAAAGUGAAAAAUCACAUUUUGACAUGAAGGUUUUCUGUAAUUUAGCCUUAUAUAAAUAAAGGGUUAAUUGCAUACAAAUCCUCGCAAACAUAAUCAGUUAUAAAUAUAUCUUUGCAAAAUUCAACUUUUAUAAGUUAUUCCUACAAAAGUCGUAAUGUUUUUAGAUAUAUUCAUCUGAUUUGUUAACAUUAGAGAACUGUUAGAAAACUGUUUAUAUUUUUAAUUUUGUACUCACAAAUAUGUCAUUUCAAAAGCUAUAAUAGUAUAAUAUAAGAGGAAUAAAAAUGUCAAAAAUAAUCACAAUAAAGUAUUUAACUUAUAGUUAACUAAACUUUUCUAACGAAUUCUAACGGAAUGGACAUAUGUAAAAAUAUUAGGACUUUUACAGGAAUAAUUUAAAAGAUAAUGGCUGAUCAUUAUUUUGCACAUAACAUUAUCGUCUUUCUUAGAGCUUGAUUCAUACAAAUUAACUAUAACACUACCUCAAUACAAUAUCAUCUUUCUAUUAUCGUGGUAACUUUUACGUUUUAGCGCCACAUAUACUGUAAUAUUUUACAGAGAUGAUAC